AGGUGUGAGUAGUGUGUAUUUGUGUGAGAAUGGGUGUGAGUAGUGUGUAUUUGUGUGAGAAUAGGUGUGAGUAGUGUGUAUUUGUGUGUUAAAUACUGCUGUACAAUUGUGUAUCUGUGUGUGUGAGAGAGAGCGAGAGAGCGUGUGUGUGUGAAUGCUGCUCUUUUAGUGUGUUUUAGUUAGUUGUAUAUGUGUAAAAUGCUGCUGUACUAGUGAGUAUUUGUGUGAAAGUGUGAGCGUGUGUGUGUGAGGAAAUACUGUGUAUUAGUCAAGUUGUGUAUGUGUGUUAAAUACUGCUGUACUAGUGUGUAUUUGUGUGUGAGAGUGAGUGUGAAUUAGUUGUGUAUGUCUGUAUGUAAUCCCUUUUAAAAAAUUGCCAUAUAUAUUGCAGAACAAAUAUGUCAAUACCAAUGGCAGCCUUUUCCAAUAUUGUGCAGCCCUAGUGUGUAGGAGAGAAUGUGUGUAUUGGUGU